rnacentral:rRNA from 1 species
GACGAACGCUGGCGGCGUGCUUAACACAUGCAAGUCGAGCGGAAAGGCCACUUCGGUGGUACUCGAGCAGCGAACGGGUGAGUAACACGUGAGUAAUCUGCCCUUCACUCUGGGAUAGCCACCGGAAACGGGGAUUAAUACCGGAUACGACCACUCCACGCAUGUGGUGGUGGUGGAAACUUUUUGGGUGGGGGAUGUGCUCGCGGCCUAUCAGCUUGUUGGUGGGGUAAUGGCCUACCAAGGCUUCGACGGGUAGCCGGCCUGAGAGGGUGACCGGCCACACUGGGACUGAGACACGGCCCAGACUCCUACGGGAGGCAGCAGUGGGGAAUAUUGGACAAUGGGCGGAAGCCUGAUCCAGCAACGCCGCGUGAGGGAUGACGGCCUUCGGGUUGUAAACCUCUUUCAGCACCGACGAAGCGCAAGUGACGGUAGGUGCAGAAGAAGGACCGGCCAACUACGUGCCAGCAGCCGCCGUAA